rnacentral:lncRNA from 1 species
UGUCCCAAUUCGCUCUUUUACCCUAUAUUUAAGUGACUCAACAACUGUUUGGCAAAUCUUGUGGAAUACUUUCAUUCUACUAUUGGACAACAGUAAUAUUUCAAAUCCUCAAACGGAAUGGUGGAAAUAUAAACUGUAUUAGCAAAAAUUAGAUGCCAUGAUCAACGAUUUCGAUCUUGACAAUUUGCGAUCCACUGCCUUACUAUAAAGAUGGCCUUUACAACAACAGUCACUAAUCUGACUAAAUCCUCUUUACUUAGCUGGCGCUGAUGACCACUUAUGCCAGGUGACUCUGCUAAUGCCUUUGUACAAGGGAAUAUAUGCCACUGGUGGCCUUUGACUUUGACUGGACGUUGUAGGCUGUUGAUGGCUGCUAAAAUGGCAUCUAACAGGGGUUUUAAUAGAUCUUUUAAGAAAUGUGUUGUUAUUGUUGCGGGCCCGCUAUCUCGGCCUAACCGCUAGAAGGCCUAGGCCGCUUCAGCUUGAUUAUUGUAUCGCCAGAUGGGGCGACCCCCUUUUUUCCCUCACUUCUUUUUUUGCACACACUCUCGGUUGAAGGUAAACGGCGAGAGUGUGUAGCAGUUGUUCGUGGGCUGUUAUUCAAGAGGGAGCUCUUACGGUUGACUGUCUGGCUACCCCUCGCGUUAAAUAUACUGUUUAUUAGUUCCUCAAAUUAGUGUACGUCUUAAUUCAUUAGUUCAGUUUAUUGUUAAACCGUAACAUUAUAGACAUCUUUGAUGGAGCAGCUAACAUGCCGUACCAAGUUUUUAUCAACGAGUGCUGUGCUACAGGAAAAACCGACAUUGAUUGGAUAUUUGAAGCCAUGGUAGUAAAGAAGCCAUCACUAGGCCCGAUUUUGAGAGCACGUGGGUUUUACUUCACGAUAAAAAGUGAAUUUAAGCAAGGGAAAUGGAUUACUCUGGGAGUAAAAGAGACGGUUGUAGAAGGCAAAGAGUUACGUUUGAAGAUUCUUAACAAUAUCGAAAUAAUAAAAAUGGACCAGUCCACAGAGCUAACUUUGAAAGCUAAACUUGAAUUCAUCUCGAGUACUUUUAACGGUACACAUAGUGCUGAUUUUACCUGUUCUAAUUCACAACUUAUCCUUUCAAAAUACUCACAAGGUUCUCGAUCCAGACAAUCUUAAGAGUCUUUUACGUUAAAGUCUCAUGGCUCUCCUUUGUUACAAUCUCAACAGAAUUUAUUUGAUGUGUAACAGGAGUUUGAUGCAGCAAGUACCGAAGAUGUUUUUACGCAAGUUUGUUUUUCCUGUAACUUAAAGAAAAAAUCAACACAAUGUUCAUUUAAACACUGCAAAAUUUAAACUGUCUACACAUUUUGGCUUCUUAAUUGACGCCAAGUUAAAAGAUCCUUUAAUGAAUGAAACUAUUUCUUAAAAGGAAUAUAGUUCUAUCAGUACAACAUUUCAAAGCGCAAUUGAACCUUUUACGCUGCAUCCUAACCCAGAUAGCAUUCGUUUUGUUGUGGGACAACUUUUUUUCAAGUUUUCUGUUCUCGUAAUUGACCAAGAAAAUGAAACGACAAAUAUGAGAAUUAUGUUAGAAAAAGAGAAUUUUUGAAAACAAGAUGCUUAUCAACAACCAACAAUUUUUUUGUAAAGGUGGACGGCCAAAAACAGAUGUUGCUGACGAAGGUCCCGAUGUAAAAAAACCGUAUAAACGCAGAUGAUCAACGUAUAAAUAAUACGAAAAAACAUCUAGAACUUCAUCGAAAAAUGGGUUAUAGCGAAAGCAAUACUUUAUUAUUGAAAUUGACGUUUGAAGGUCGAAGAAAAGUUAUAUUGGAUGGAAAGUACACGGACAUUUACGACAUCAUGAAGAGACAUUGCCCAGUGUUAAACCAAGCAAACUAUCUUCGAAUUGAAUUUGAGAUGUACGUGGGAAAAGAGGUUCGUGAUUUCAUGGCAAAGUGGUCCGAAUAUGUUCCACUUAUUCUGAAAGUGGCCAAGAAAAGUGCACCCAACAACAAAAAAAUGAGGAACCUGGUGGAUUUUUACAGGCGUACGUCAGACAUUUACGAGUGUUUUGGUAUAUAAUUUGGUUUUCGUACUUGGCACAACGCCUUGAGAAUUCAAAAUUAUUGUAAUGUUUACAUACAAAAUAUUUUGCCACCCUUGAGUUGCUGCCUCUUUUGCUUGGUGUCCACCCGUUUCAGUCCUUUUUUUCGGCACUUAAAUUUUUUCGUAUUCGGCACUGAUUUUGUCCGUUUCAGCACUGUGUUUGUAUUUUUCGGAACCACUCCCAGAUUUAGUACAAGACGUAACUUUUU